AAUCAACGCUGGCGGCGUGCCUCAGACAUGCAAGUCGAACGAUUAAAGCUCUCUUCGGAGAGUGCAUAGAGUGGCGCACGGGUGAGUAACACGUAAGUAAUCUACCUUCGAGUGGGGAAUAACGUCCGGAAACGGACGCUAAUACCGCAUAAUGCAGCGGCAUCGUAAGAUGACAGUUGUUAAAGAUUUAUCGCUUGAAGAGGAGCUUGCGGCAGAUUAGCUAGUUGGUAAGGUAAUGGCUUACCAAGGCUACGAUCUGUAACCGGUCUUAGAGGACGGUCGGUCACACUGACACUGAAUAACGGGUCAGACUCCUACGGGAGGCAGCAGUCGGGAAUUUUGGGCAAUGGGCGAAAGCCUGACCCAGCAACGCCGCGUGAAGGAUGAAGUAUUUCGGAUGUAAACUUCGAAAGAAUGGGAAGAAUAAAUGACGGUACCAUUUAUAAGCUCCGGCUAACUACGUGCCAGCAGCCGCGGUAAU
rnacentral:rRNA from 1 species